rnacentral:rRNA from 1 species
GUCCACGCCGUAAACGAUGUCUGCUAGCCGUUGGGAUCCUUGAGGUUUCGGUGGCGCAGCUAACGCGAUAAGCAGACCGCCUGGGGAGUACGGCCGCAAGGUUAAAACUCAAAUGAAUUGACGGGGGCCCCGCACAAGCGGUGGAGCAUGUGGUUUAAUUCGAUGCAACGCGAAGAACCUUACCAGGUCUUGACAUCCAGAGAACUUUCCAGAGAUGGAUUGGUGCCUUCGGGAACUCUGAGACAGGUGCUGCAUGGCUGUCGU